GAUGAAGAACGCAGCGAAAUGCAAUAAGUAAUGUGAAUUGCAGAAUUCAGUGAAUCAUCGAAUCUUUGAACGCACAUUGCGCCCGCCAGUAUUCUGGCGGGCAUGCCUGUUCGAGCGUCAUUACAACCCUCAGGCCCCCGGGCCUGGCGUUGGGGAUCGGCGGAGCCCCCCGUGGGCACACGCCGUCCCCCAAAUGCAGUGGCGGUCCCGCCGCAGCUUCCAUCGCGUAGUAGCUAACACCUCGCGACUGGAGAGCGGCGCGGCCACGCCGUAAAACACCCAACUCUUCUGAAGUUGACCUCGAAUCAGGUAGGAAUACCCGCUGAACUUAAGCAUAUCAAUAAGCGGAGGA
rnacentral:misc_RNA from 1 species